GGUCAGAAGUGGGAUUCGAACUCCAAGCCCACAUUCGUGGACCAGAACUCAACACUGCGACAGAGCAAGGAACCUUGAGUCUGGCGCCUUAGACCGCUCGGCCAUCCUGAC